rnacentral:rRNA from 1 species
UCAGGCCUAACACAUGCAAGUCGAGCGGUAACAGGGGGGCUUGCUCCUGCUGACGAGCGGCGGACGGGUGAGUAAUGUCUGGGGAUCUGCCCUAGUGAGGGGAAUAACCACUGGAAACGGUGGCUAAUGCCGCAUAACGUCGCAAGACCAAAGUGGGGGACUUUCGGGCCUCACGCACUAGGAUGAACCCAGAUGAGAUUAGCUAGUUGGUGAGGUAACGGCUCACCAAGGCGACGAUCUCUAGCUGGUCUGAGAGGAUGAUCUGCCACACUGGGACUGAGACACGGCCCAGACUCCUACGGGAGGCAGCAGUGGGGAAUAUUGGACAAUGGGGGCAACCCUGAUCCAGACAGUGCCGCGUGUGUGAAGAAGGCCUUCGGGUGUAAAUGAAGGUCAUUGGUGAGGAAGGAUGUUAAGUUAAUACCUUAAUAUAUGA